ACCUAGCCAACCUUUGCUGAUCUCAAGAAGCUAAGCAGGAUAAGACAUGGUUAGUACUUGGAUGGGAGAUCACCAGGAAAUUUCAGGGCUAUAGGCU
rnacentral:rRNA from 1 species